rnacentral:SRP_RNA from 1 species
GCCAGGUGUGGUGGUGGGCAUCUGUAAUCCCAGCUACGUGGGAGGCUGAGGCAGGAGAAUAGCUUGAACCUGGGAGGCGGAGGUUGCAGUGAGUGAGCCGAGAUCGUGUCACUGCACUCCAGCCUGGGUAGAGUGAGAUUCCAUUUCAGGAAAUGGACAGUUUCGCUCUUGAGACAGUUUCACUGUUGUUGCUCAGGCUGGAGUGCAAUGGCGUGAUCUCAGCUCAUGACAACCUCCGCCUUCCAGGUUCAAGUGCUUCUCCUGCCUCAG